rnacentral:snRNA from 1 species
GUGCUCACUUCAGCAGUGCAUAUACUAAAAUUGGAAUGAUACAGAAAAGACUUGCAUGGCCCCUGCACAA